rnacentral:rRNA from 1 species
GGAAGUAGCAAUACUUUUGAUGACGAGUGGCGGACGGGUGAGUAAUAUUUGGGAAUCUACCUAUCAGAGGGGGAUAGCAACUGGAAACGGUUGAUAAGACCGCGUACGCUCUGAGGAGGAAAGUAAUGGGAUCGAAAGACCAUUAGCUGAUAGAUGAGCCCAAACGGGAUUAGCUAGUAGGCGGGGUAAUAGCCCACCUAGGCGACGAUCUCUAGCUGGUUUUAGCGGAUGAUCAGCCACAUUGGAACUGAGACACGGUCCAAACUCCUACGGGAGGCAGCAGUAGGGAAUAUUGCACAAUGGAGGGAACUCUGAUGCAGCCAUGCCGCGUGUGUGAAGAAGGCCUUCGGGUUGUAAAGCACUUUAGUUUUCGAGAAAGGGUGCUGUUCAAAUAGGGCAGUAUUCAGAUGUUAGAAAAAGAAUAAGUACCGGCAAACUCCGUGCCAGCAGCCGCGGUAAUACGGAGGGUACGAGCGUUAAUCGGAAUGACUGGGCGUAAAGGGCACGUAGGUGGAUAGAUAAGUCACAAGUGAAAUACCCGGGCUUAACCUGGGAUUGGCUCAUGAAACUGUUUAACUAGAGUACGGUAGAGGGGAGUAGAAUUCCAAGUGUAGCGGUGAAAUGCGUAGAGAUUUGGAAGAAUACCGGAGGCGAAGGCGGCUCUCUGGACCGAUACUGACACUGAAGAGCGAAAGCGUGGGGAGCAAA